AGAGUUUGAUCCUGGCUCAGGACGAACGCUGGCGGCGUGCCUAACACAUGCAAGUCAAGGGGACUUCGGUCCACUGGCGCACGGGUGAGUAACGAGUAGAUAAUCUGCCCCUAUCACUGACAUAACACCGAGAAAUCGAUGCUAAUAUCAGAUGAGGCCUCAGGGUCAAAGCUUCGGCGGAUAGGGAUGAGUCUGCUUCUGAUUAGCUAGUAGGCGGGGUAAUUGCCCACCUAGGCGACGAUCAGUAACUGGUCUGAGAGGAUGAUCAGUCACACUGGAACUGAGACACGGUCCAGACUCCUACGGGAGGCAGCAGUGAGGAAUUUUGGACAAUGGGGGAAACCCUGAUCCAGCGACGCCGCGUGUGGGAUGACGGGGCUUUGCCCUGUAAACCACUGUCAGAUGGGAAGAAAAGACUGCUCGGCGGUCUGGGACUGUACCAUCAGAGGAAGGACCGGCUAACUACGUGCCAGCAGCCGCGGUAAUACGUAGGGUCCAAGCGUUGUCCGGAAUUACUGGGUAUAAAGGGUGCACAGGCGGGCCUGUGCGUCAGGGGUUAAAGAUCUCGGCUCAACCGAGAGAGUGCCCUUGAUACGGCAGGUCUUGAGUAUGACAGAGGAUGAUAGAAUUCCUGGUGUAGCGGUGAAAUGCGUAGAUAUCAGGAGGAAUACCAGUGGCGAAGGCGGUCAUCUGGGUCAUUACUGACGCUUAAGCACGAAAGCGUGGGGAGCAAACAGGAUUAGAUACCCUGGUAGUCCACGCCCUAAACGAUGCAUGCUUGGUGUUAUUAGCAAUAGCUUGUAGUGCCGGAGGAAAUCCGUUAAGCAUGCCACCUGGGGAGUACGAUCGCACGGUUGAAACUCAAAGGAAUUGA
rnacentral:rRNA from 1 species